UCAAUGAAUGAAAUUUAAGACACAAAUAAAUAGAAAGAUAUUUUGUGCUCAUGGAUUGGAAGAAUUAAUAUGGUUUAAACUUCCAUACUACCCAAACCAA